CAAUAGCGUAUAUUAAAGUUGUUGCGGUUAAAAAGCUCGUAGUUGGAUUUCUGCUGAGAACGACCGGUCCGCCCUUUGGGUGUGUAUCUGGCUCUUUCUUGGCAUCUUCUUGGUGAACGUUGCUGCACUUGACUGUGUGGAGCGCUACCCAGGACUUUUACUUUGAGGAAAUUAGAGUGUUUCAAGCAGGCAUACGCCUUGAAUACAUUAGCAUGGAAUAAUAAGAUAGGGCCUUGGUUCUAUUUUGUUGGUUUCUAGAGCUGAGGUAAUGAUUGAUAGGGACAGUUGGGGGCAUUCGUAUUUAACUGUCAGAGGUGAAAUUCUUGGAUUUGUUAAAGACGAACUACUGCGAAAGCAUUUGCCAAGGAUGUUUUCAUUGA
rnacentral:rRNA from 1 species